GGAGAGGUGGGUGAGUGGCUGAAACCACCGGUUUGCUAAACCGACGUCGGGAGCAAUCCUGUCCACGAGUUCGAAUCUCGUCCUCUCCGCCA
rnacentral:tRNA from 1 species